UGCAAACUAUGGCAUGUUUCAAUACUGUCUUUCCUGUUUUAAUAGCGAUACUUCAGUUUUUUUUUUUUUAUUACUAACUUUAGGAAAUGAAUGAAAGUGGAGUCCUUUAUCUUUUUUUAUAUUAUUACAUUGAAGAACACAGUUGUUUUACGGCAUUAUUACAUCUCUAUAAUGAUAGCUGGCUUCUAAGCCUAACUAAUACCAAACACGGAGGUGCUGCCUCAUACAGUGUAGAUGGUCUAUUGCAAAACUCAAAAAAUACAGCUCAGUAUAAUGGAAUCGGGUCAUUGAUAUGCAUUUCCAAAGGCCCGUGUUGUCUGUCUGCAUUUCUGAUUAUCUGAUGUGACGAAACUUUGCGCGUUUUGACAUUUUGAUUGUGUUUCUUAUCUCGCUAUUUUAAUAAUGCUUCUGUGCCAACUUAAAAUAAUGAAAAUUUUCCUGAUAUUUACUAGUGGAUAUACAUUUUAAUAAAAAUAAGGAUAAAAAUUCCACGAAUUAAAUCUUAAAAGAAAAACCGUAUGAGGAAAUUU
rnacentral:lncRNA from 1 species